UUGGCAAAGCUUUGUCAAGGUGAACCAAACCAAAUGGGAUCGCUAUCUGGAUGCCGUUACAUUCAGCAUAAGAACCAAAAAGCAACUUACAACUCAAUACUCCCCUUACUAUUUGCUUUUUGGAAGGGAAGCACGAUACUUUUCGGAGGUCCCACAAACAUUCGAAGUCAAUGAAACAGUGGAGCAAGCCAUUCAGAUUGAGGCUGUCAACCCUGCUCUUCAGCUGCAGGAAAAGGUCUUUGAAGUGGUCAGAAAAAAUAUGAAAGCAUCAAGACA